GACGAACGCUGGCGGCGUGCUUAACACAUGCAAGUCGAACGGUGAAGCGCCUUCCUUUUUGGUGGGUGUGGAUGAGUGGCGAACGGGUGAGUAACACGUGAGUAACCUGCCCCCUUCUUCUGGAUAACCGCAUGAAAGUGUGGCUAAUACGGGAUAUUCUGGGUCUGUCGCAUGAUGGGUCUGGGAAAGAUAUUGUUUCGGUGGGGGAUGGGCUCGCGGCCUAUCAGCUUGUUGGUGGGGUGAUGGCCUACCAAGGCGGUGACGGGUAGCCGGCCUGAGAGGGUGGACGGUCACACUGGGACUGAGACACGGCCCAGACUCAUACGGGAGGCAGCAGUGGGGAAUAUUGCACAAUGGGCGCAAGCCUGAUGCAGCGACGCCGCGUGAGGGAUGGAGGCCUUCGGGUUGUGAACCUCUUUCGCCAGUGAAGCAGGCCUGCCUCGUUUGUGGGUGGGUUGACGGUAGCUGGAGAAGAAGCGCCGGCUAACUACGUG
rnacentral:rRNA from 1 species